rnacentral:lncRNA from 1 species
UUAUUUGAAGUGUUAUUUAACCUUAGUGACUAAAUUAGUCGAAAAUGUAUUUCAAGUACCAGCUUGAAAAUCUCUCAUAAACUUCACUGCCCACACCUGAAAUUAACUAGAGCACAACUUGCAAUCCCUUUGCCAAUAUCCAUGUUUCCCCCUCUUCGAAACCCUCACGCACCGCACGCUGAGCUAGGGUUUCCAAAUAGUCCAAAUUCUGGGGUUCUGAGAAUUUCAUAG